rnacentral:misc_RNA from 1 species
GAAAACAUCAGGCUCCUAACACCUUAACCUGUGGAAGGAAACCUGGACUUGGGUCCAUUUGUUCAAGGGGGUUAAUGGAACAAUGACCUAAAAUUCAAUGUCCGCGGUUCCGCCGUAUGUGGAAGCGUUGGCCUGAGUGCUGGAACUGAACCUUUUGGUUUAUCUCUGUACCACUCGUGGCUUGCUUCUAACGCGUUGUGCAUGCCGUGUUAAGAAUCAUAACUGAUUGUACGCUCGGAAUGUGGCCGUCAGGUCGCAGUCCUUGUUA